rnacentral:lncRNA from 1 species
AAUCUUCUGUUCAACUACAUGAAAGUAAAUAGAAAGGCGAUACAUGCAUCUCAACCCUCAGGACAUCAAUCAACCUACUGCACCAAAUCCACCUGUUGCAGGGUUAAGCAUAGAAAAUUUGGGGAUCACAGGGAGGUAGCAUUAGUGACUUCCUAGUCACCCAAACCCAAAGCCGGAUGCAUCUACCCCACUGAAACUAUGUCUUUACUGCCCAACCUAAUUUUACCAAAUUAAGAGGCGAUAACCGGUGCACUUUAUAAAUGUGGCGCAGGCUCAACAGGAAAUGAAAAGAAGAGCAAACCACAGGAUUCAGAUGCAUGAACUACUUAAGCUGCAUAUCAUAAAAACCAGCAACUAUAUCGAAAGAGGAAGAGAUUCUACACCAUAACCACAAGGAAAUACCGCAAAUCUUAAUUUUAAAGCAUGACCACUUUCCAUUCACAAUGCACACAAUGACCUGCAUCAAAUAAUAUAUUCAUCCUUCGGCGAGUUAAUGCCUGCUGCUUCCUUUCUUUGCCCUGUUUGCUUAACUUUAUUUCUCUUCUUCACAUUGCUAUUUGAGUUACACUACAAUUUCAAAUGUGUUGCAUGCUUGGCACUGGAUGUACAAAGCAGUCAGAUUAAACAUAGUGUGCAUACAGAAUUUUGGUGUUGCUCUGCAUCCUCUGUCAAGAUGUUCUAUGUGAACUUCACCCAAUCGAUCUCGCAGGAAGUCCAGGGUUACCUUAUCAUUUUCAAGGUCAAGCCGCAGCUUGCAACAAGUACAAUAGAUGAGAUGAUAGGCCUCUCGUAGCUCUCCUCGUUUGCAGAUCGGGCACCAUACUCUGUCAUUCUUCACAGGAUAGCAUCAAAAUAUUGUGUUAGCAAGCAAAAAGUGGCGAAAGGUUUGAAACUACACCAUAACUGAAGUGAGAGUAAAUGCAGUGCUCUGAAGUACAUAAUAGGAAGUGGUUUUUGAGGACCAGUAUGUGUGGUGGAAAGAAAAAGGGGAGGCAAAGACACAGAGAAGUGAUUUUCUUUCAAUAUAAAGUUCCAUUCAAUUGGUAACAAUUGUUCAGAAGCGGCCAAGGGCUGACCCACUACUUCGUACAUCAUUUAGGGCCUCUUAAGAUUUGUCAGGAGUUUAACAGUUCAGGACAUUUUCUUUUUGCAGACAAUAUGACAACACACAAGUCAAUGAAUCCUUGUGCCGCAUCAGAAUGUACAUAAUCCACAUUAAAAAACAAAAGACUGCAUGUCAGGGUGGGCAGAAUUUGCAUCAGGGAAACAGACAUUAGGGAUGAGGUCUUUCAAAAUUGUGCAUCGUCAUAGUUAGCUUCAAUGGACCCAAGUGGAAACCUGGUUAUAAUUAGCAAGUAUAUCAAAGCAUUCUAGAUUCAAGCUUAAAGAUUCAUAGCAGUGGGCAGGUGUAUCCUGA